rnacentral:rRNA from 1 species
AUUGAACGCUGGCGGCAGGCCUAACACAUGCAAGUCGAGCGGAGCGGCGGACGGGUGAGUAAUGCCUAGGAAUCUGCCUGGUAGUGGGGGAUAACGUCCGGAAUCGGGCGCUAAUACCGCAUACUAUCAGAUGAGCCUAGGUCGGAUUAGCUAGUUGGUGGGGUAAAGGCCUACCAAGGCGACGAUCCGUAACUGGUCUGAGAGGAUGAUCAGUCACACGGGAACUGAGAUACGGUCCAGACGCCUACGAGCGGCAGCAGUGGGGAAUAUUGGACAAUCGGCGAAAGCCUGCGCCAGCCAUUGCGCGUGUGUGAAGAAGGUCUUCGGAUUGUAAAGCACUUUAAGUUGGGAGGCGGUACCAGCAGAAUAAGCGCUGGCUAACUACGUGCCAGCAGCCGCGGUAAUAC